CAAGUCGAGCGAGGUUACUGUGACAGAUCCCUUCGGGGUGAAGUUGCUUUAACCUAGCGGCGGACGGGUGAGUAACGCGUGGGUAACCUACCCUAAAGUUCGGGAUAACAGCGGGAAACCGCUGCUAAUACCGGAUGCCUUUACCGUGUGGCAUCACAGGGUAAAGAAAGGUAACGCUUUAGGAUGGGCCCGCGUCCCAUUAGCUAGUUGGUGAGGUAACAGCUCACCAAGGCGACGAUGGGUAGCCGGCCUGAGAGGGUGGACGGCCACACUGGGAUUGAGAAACGGCCCAGACUCC
rnacentral:rRNA from 1 species